GAUGAAGAACGUAGUGAAAUGCGAUAAGUAGUGUGAAUUGCAGAAUUCAGUGAAUCAUCGAAUCUUUGAACGCACAUUGCGCCCCUUGGUAUUCCAUGGGGCAUGCCUGUUCGAGCGUCAUUUACACCCUCAAGCUCUGCUUGGUGUUGGGCGUCUGUCCCGCUGCUUUGCGCGGACUCGCCUCAAAGGUAUUGGCAGCGAUCAUGCCAGCUUCUCGCGCAGCACAUUGCGCUUCUUGAAGUUCGGGUGGAUCAGCGUCCAUUAAGCUUACCUUCAUGACUUGACCUCGGAUCAGGUAGGGAUACCCGCUGAACUUAAGCAUAUCAAUAAGCGGAGGA
rnacentral:misc_RNA from 1 species